rnacentral:rRNA from 1 species
GUGGGGAAUAUUGGACAAUGGGCGAAAGCCUGAUCCAGCCAUGCCGCGUGUGUGAAGAAGGUCUUCGGAUUGUAAAGCACUUUAAGUUGGGAGGAAGGGCAGUAAGUUAAUACCUUGCUGUUUUGACGUUACCGACAGAAUAAGCACCGGCUAACUUCGUGCCAGCAGCCGCGGUAAUACGAAGGGUGCAAGCGUUAAUCGGAAUUACUGGGCGUAAAGCGCACGUAGGUGGUUUUGUAAGUUGGAGGUGAAAUCCCCGGGCUCAACCUGGGAACUGCCUCCAAAACUGCAUGACUAGAGUACGGUAGAGGGUAGUGGAAUUUCCUGUGUAGCGGUGAAAUGCGUAGAUAUAGGAAGGAACACCAGUGGCGAAGGCGACUACCUGGACUGAUACUGACACUGAGGUGCGAAAGCGUGGGGAGCAAACAGGAUUAGAAACCCUGGUAGUCC